AGGGGCAGUCCCUUAGCGACGGUGAAAACAAUGCCCUAGAUACGGUCGAUUUACUACGCUGAUUGAGCACCUCUGCUGAUAUUUCGUCAAUUGCAUUCCUAUUUGGAAGUCGAUAGGUAAUUAAAUGUCCUGUAAUUGGUGUUUAAAAUGUCUUUUGACUAUUAUGAAGGGUUAGAUUGCACUUAGAAAGCCCGAUAUGAUCAGAAAAUAAAACUAAUUGGACUUAAUGAAUGUCCGUACAAAUUGCAAGCUGGAUGUUGGAAAAAUGACCCGACCAAGUGGGCGACGAUCGAGUACGGCGACAUUCAUGAUUAACUUUCUCACUGAGACACCGGGUACCAGGCAAAAAAGAGUUCAGGAACCCCACACUUUGGAUGCCACCAUAUUCAGCUGUGCAAUCCCUUAUCAGACUUAUAUACUGUCAGCUUGAAUAUAUGUUGACUGCAUGGACUCACAAUGCAGAAUUACCAGACUUCCUUGGAAAGGGGUGCCUAACAAAGGACGCUUUCACGGGUAAUAUCAGUUGUGACUUUGGAAAAGAAAGUUACAUCGACAAAAUAGAUGAUCUUCUUCAGAUAGAUGAAGAUCUUCUAUCACAAAAAAGGAAGAGGUAAGAAGAAGGCGAAGUCCAAAAGAAAUCUAGACAACUGUACGCCACAGAAGGAAGUCUGCGUAAAGCGCAAGUCACAGAGACCUACCCCAAGGAAAAUGAAGAGAUCGCAAUGUGUGAAGGCACUACAGCUCCAACCUGAAACAGAAUCAUAAAGGAACCCCAAAAAGUCUGGAAGCCAGAAAGGGAAAGGGACUUCAUACGUCCCAUCCCGAUAUCCAUGACGUCAGAGAGGGAAAGGGACAUCACACGUCCCAUUCCAAGAACCAGGACACCUGAGAGGGAAAGGGACACCAUAUGUCCCAUCCCAACAGUAAGGAAAGUCAGCAUACAUGAACCAAG